AGCUUUACCAGUCUAUAAAACUGUAAGAUUAUUGACUGGAUACCAACCUAUAUAGUGAGCAAUAAGACUUGUACAUUUUAUUCAGUGCGCAUAUAUUGACAAGAAUUUUAUUGGUCAUUUAUGCAUGUCAAAAUCAAAGAUAACCAGCUACGCUAAAAAUACAUUCAGAGAAAUAAGAGUUUAUCAAUUUUGGUUUAUACACUAUAUGAUUGUUUAUUUCAAGAUGCUGGUGCUACGUACAUACGAUGGGGACGCACCACGUGUCCUGGUAACGGUUCGGCACUGGUGUACUCAGGUUAGUCGUAUAAUUAUGUUAUUUUGGUCCACUUUUUGUGUUGCGUGGCUGUUUGAUCCAACGAUCUGUGUAUGAGGUUAUUUAUCAAGUGUUAAGUUGUAAAUACGAGUACAUGUAUAUAUAAUUAUAUACAUACAGUUGUCUUGUACUUUUAUCAGCAUAAUAUUCAAAUACCUUUAUAAUUAUGAUGUGCACUGCACAUAAUAAUUAUAAAGGUAUUUGAAU
rnacentral:sRNA from 1 species